rnacentral:lncRNA from 1 species
AAAAUUUUGUAUACACUUAAUACAUCUAAUAAUCCAAAUAGUUUCAAAUUUUCAAUCAUAGAUGUCACACCAAUUGCAUGAACUAGUCAAUAUUACUAGCCCUAAUUAUAUUAUAUAAAAUCCAAAUCACUGAUACAGACCUUAACUUUGAACAAUAGUUUCUAAUUCCUCCAAAAUUCUCUCAAAUCUAUUCUUAUGUCUCUGGAAAGAAAUUUAAGCU